rnacentral:lncRNA from 1 species
CUGUAGAAGUUCAACUCUCGCAGGAGCUCGAGUGAAAUCCAGAAGACGAUCGACCGUCGUAGAAACUUAGAUGGAGUCUGGUUACUGUAGAAAUCUAGUUGUCUGAAAAGCUUGGAUAUUGAUGAAGUCCGGAAGAAGUUCGAAGUAGGGUCGUCCGUGGCCAGAAGAAGUCUGGAAGAGAUUCGGAGAAUAGUUGAUCACUGUAGA